GUGGUUGUAGCUCAGUUGGUUAGAGCGUCGGAUUGUGGUUCCGAAGGUCGCGGGUUCGAGCCCCGUCUUCCACCCCA
rnacentral:tRNA from 1 species